UAAACCUUAUCGGCUGAUCUGGU
rnacentral:siRNA from 1 species